rnacentral:misc_RNA from 1 species
AAAGUCGUAACAAGGUUUCCGUAGGUGAACCUGCGGAAGGAUCAUUAUUGAUUCAAGAGGGAUGUGCUGGCUCUCGGGCAAAUUGUGCACUCUCUCAAAAAAUCUAAAUUCACCUGUGCACUCUUGAUAGACAAAAUAGACACGGGAACGUAGUCUAUCCUUGUUUAUUGUUUCUAUACACACCCUUAUAUCUUGAAUACAAUGAAUAUAAUUGAAAUAAAAACAACUUUCAACAAUGGAUCUCUUGGUUCUC